rnacentral:lncRNA from 1 species
UUCAUCGCAAGUAGACAACUCGCUUCCUAAUGCCUCUGCAUUAAGGAGCCAGGCGCUGCAGCUCUUUGGUACGUGACCUCAAAUAGAUUCAUGCGUCCUUCUGCUGACACGGUGGCAGAGGAGAGGGAAGGGUCGCGCCUGGUGGGGGCCUGAGAGCCACCGGGCUGCGGUGCGCGAGUGUGGACACCGCCCCGCCUUCUGCGUCUACAGCCCUGGGUUCUGGGACCUUUGGAAACCGCUUUGGACGAAGCUGAGCAUCUCUUUCCCCACGCUGACCUCCCCCAUAGACUCCGGAUGGGAGUAAAUGAGGGUA